rnacentral:ncRNA from 2 species
UUGAUGAUUACGGGAGAGAGCAAAAAAAUAAUGCCGCCGAAGGAAUAAACAGUGAAACAUGCAGGCUUUUACUGUGAAGAUCUCAGGUAAAAGGACCGUAAUUUGACA